AUGCCCCAUCACAGAGCGUCAUCUGGCCAAGGCCAUCUCAGAACCGACUGGGAGCAGAGACUGGAGGGGUCCUUACCAGCAACCCAGAGUGGGACUUCUUUGGAUUGGACUGGGCUUAACGCUGGCACUGGCUCUGUUUGACUCCAUGGUUUCUUGGGCUCCUGCCAGAGCUUAUCCUCUUCCUUCUGAAGGCCAUUCUGUCAUACUCAGUGCCAUAGUGCCGCCGCUCCAGAAUGCCUUUGGGUGGCAGAACCUCACUUGCUGUGCCUGCAAAAUCUUAUUCACUGCUCUCAACUACGGGCUGAAGAAAGAGCCCAGUGUGGCACGGAUAGGCUCUGUGGCUAUCAAGAUGUGCAAGAUGCUGAACAUAGUACCACUAAAUGUGUGCCAGUCAGCUGUCCAUCUCUUUGAGGACGAUAUGGUGGAGGUGUGGACAUGUUCAGUCCUGAGCCCAUCAGAAGCUUGUGGCUUGCUUCUGAGCUCCUCUUAUGGGCACUGGAACAUCUUUUCGACUUGGAACAUCUCUUUGCCAUCAGUACUGAAGCCAGCCCCAAAGCCACCAAGCCCACCAGCCCCAGGUGUCCCUGACAGCCGUGUCCUCUUCCUUACUGACCUACACUGGGACCAUGACUACCUGGAGGGCACAGAUCCUAACUGUGCAGAUCCACUCUACUGCCACCAGGGGUCUGGAUGACCACCCAAAUCCCAGACCAGGGCUGGGUACUGGGGCGAGUACCACAAGUGUGACCUGCCCCUGCGAACGCUAGAAAACCUGUUGAAAGGAUUGUGCCCUGCCGGCCCUUUUGAAAUGUUGUACAGGACGAGAGACAUCCCUGCCCAUGAUAUCUGGCAGCAGUCUCACCAGGAUCAGCUGAGGGCCCUGACCACCAUCACAGACCUCGUGAGGAAGUUCUUGGGUCCCGUGCCAGAGUACACUGCUGUGGGCAACCACGAGAGCACUCCUGUCAAUGUCUUCCCUCCCCCCUUCAUAAAGGGAAACCAAUCUUCUCGAUGGCUUUAUGAAGCUAUGGCCAAGGCAUGGGAACCCAGGUUACCAGCUGAUGCCCUUCACACUCUCAGAAUUGAGGGCUUCUCUGCCCUCACCCCACUCCCUGGCCUCUGCCUCAUCCCUCUCAAUAUGAAUUUUUGUUCCUGUGAGAACUAUUGGCUCUUGAUCAACUCCAUGGAUCCUGCUGGACAACUCCAGUGGCUGAUGGAGGAGCUUCAGGCUGCUGAGAAUAGAGGAAACAAAGUGCAUAGAAUUGUCCACAUUCCUCCAGGCCAUUGCCUCAAGAGCUGGAGUUGAAAUUAUUACAGAAUUCUAGCCAGAUAUGAAAACACUCUGGCUGGUCAGUUCUUUAGCCACACUCAUGCGGAUGAGUUUGAGAUCUUCUAUGAUGAAGAAACUCUGAGCCGGCCACUAACUGUAGCCUUCCUGGGACCCAGUGUUACAACCUUUAUUAACUUUUAUCUUGGCAACCGAGUUUACCAAAUAGAUGGAAACUACCCAGGAAGCUCUCAUGUGGUCCUGGACCAUGAGACCUAUAUCUUAAAUCUGAUCCAGGCCAAUGCACCAGGAGGCACGUCAAUCUGGAAGCGCCUCUUCAGGGCUCGAGAAAUCUAUGGACUUCCAGAUGUGAUGCCUGCCUCCUGGCACAACCUGGUCUACCACAAGAGGGAUGAUGACCAACUAUUCCAGACCUUCUGGUUUCUCUGCCAUAAGGGCCACCCACCUUCAGAGCCCUGCGGCACACCCUGCUGCCUGGCCACUCUGUGCCCACCUCUCAGCUCGAGCACACAGCCCUGCUCUGUGUCACCACUUGAUGCCCAAUGGGAGCCUUCCAGAUGCCCAUGGGCACGCCCCCUAUUGUGCUAG